GACGAACGCUGGCGGCGUGCUUAACACAUGCAAGUCGAACGGAAAGGCCCUGCUUGCAGGGUACUCGAGUGGCGAACGGGUGAGUAACACGUGGGUGAUCUGCCCUGCACUUCGGGAUAAGCUUGGGAAACUGGGUCUAAUACCGGAUAGGAGCCAUCUUUAGUGUGGUGGUUGGAAAGUUUUUUCGGUGUAGGAUGAGCUCGCGGCCUAUCAGCUUGUUGGUGGGGUAAUGGCCUACCAAGGCGGCGACGGGUAGCCGGCCUGAGAGGGUGUACGGCCACAUUGGGACUGAGAUACGGCCCAGACUCCUACGGGAGGCAGCAGUGGGGAAUAUUGCACAAUGGGCGCAAGCCUGAUGCAGCGACGCCGCGUGGGGGAUGAAGGCCUUCGGGUUGUAAACUCCUUUCGCUAGGGACGAAGCUUUUUUGUGACGUUACCUAGAUAAGAAGCACCGGCUAACUACGUG
rnacentral:rRNA from 1 species